UCAGAGGGAGAGAAAGAGAGAGAAUAUAUUUUGGCGGACUCCACAGUCCACUCCACUCUUAACUCCGUUCUGCUGCCUCAGAAACAUGACAGCUCCAGACAAAAAUGAAGAAAGCUUAAGUGAGAUGUUUGAUCGAGGUCUAGGAUUACAGGAAGAAAUUGAGAAUUCACCAGAACCUUCAAAUUCUCCCGAGUAUCAGAAUAAAGUUAAAAAAGGAAUCCUUAUUCUUGAAGAUGCUACACGAUUUGUCUCAAGCUUAGAUCUUUUUUCCAGAAAUGAGAACUAUAAAGAACUUGAAACAAGUCACCUGAAAUACUUCCUGCUUCCUGUUCUCCUAGCUGACCUUAACUCAAGGCUUACAGAGGGAGAGAGAGAGAAUAUUGUGGAAAUCUGUCAAAUAUAUUAUAUAGACUUUCUUACCAGAACGAACGACUACGGGUUCGGAGAUGUACGGAUUCCUGUUCUGAAAACCAUGAAGAAGGAAGGGGAUCAGGAGGGAUCAGAGGAUCAUCAAACCAAACCCGGAUCCAGGAUCCCUGAUCUCAAUAAAAUGAACUCUGAACGCGAGGAGAAAAUGGCUAGAUUCAGGGAGAAGAAGGAGGUUGAGCUGGAGAUUAAAAGGUUGAAGGAGCUCGUCAUUGAUCCAGCAUCUAGAGACGAUGAUCUCAUCAGAAACCUGCAGAUCAAUAUGAUCAAACGAUUCCGAUCUAUAGCACUAGAGGAAUUGGACUCCCUUCAUAUGGAAAUAGAUAUUCUACAUCAUAGAAGAGAACUCAGAGCUGGAAGAGUUGAAGCUGAACCUGUUAAACCAGCCCGUCCUCUUCAACCAAUCAUCAUCACAAAGGAUAAACUGCAGAAGGAGAUGUAUGGUCUAGGGUAUCCAAGUCUACCUGUUCUCUCAGUAGAUGAGUUCUACGAUCAAAGAGUUAAAGAGGGUUGGUUUCCACCUACAGGGCAAGGGAAAUCGUUACAGGACACUGCUCUAAACCCUGAGGAGAUUGCUGUUCUUGAGAAUGAGAGAAUACGCGAGGAAGAAGAGAAGGAGGAGAACGAUGAUAUUCAAGAACUUGAGAAGAAAAGAGCUUUUGAUGACUGGAAGGAUGAACACAGGAGAGGAGAGGGGAAUAGGAAGAAUAUGGGAUAAUUUCUACGAAAACAUGAAAACUUUUUAUUCUGUGAUCAUUCUUAUCUAACAACCUGGAUAUUUCACAAGUUUACGGUCCAUACAUGAGUUGACAGCAAGCUAUCCAAUUUUUGUCCAGUUUUUUUCUAAUGUACAGCCGGAUAGUACAAAAUAAUCCAGAUAAUAAUAAUCCGAUAGCGGUCUGGGCUCUCCAAGAUGGGGGGGGGGUCUUCAGAUCCUCCCUUAUCUUAUCUUUUCUAUAGGCUGUUUUGUAUCCUCGGUUUCCUGCCAACUAUUUUCUAUUAUUUUCAGA
rnacentral:misc_RNA from 1 species